CUACGGGCUGCACCAGUGGGGAAUAUUGGGCAAUGGAGGAAACUCUGACCCAGCGACGCCGCGUGAGGGAUGAAGGCCUUCGGGUUGUAAACCUCUUUCAGCAGGGAAUAAGCGAAAGUGAAGGUACCUGCAGAAGAAGCACCGGCUAACUAUGUGCCAGCAGCCGCGGUAAUACAUAGGGUGCAAGCGUUGUCCGGAAUUAUUGGGCGUAAAGAGCUCGUAGGUGGUCGAUCACGUCGGAUGUGAAAUUCUGAGGCUUAACCUCGGACCUGCAUUCGAUACGGGUUGACUAGAGUGUGGUAGGGGAGACUGGAAUUCCUGGUGUAGCGGUGGAAUGCGCAGAUAUCAGGAGGAACACCGAUGGCGAAGGCAGGUCUCUGGGCCAUUACUGACACUGAGGAGCGAAAGCGUGGGGAGCGAACAGGAUUAGAUACCCUCGUAGUC
rnacentral:rRNA from 1 species